UGGGGAAUAUUGCACAAUGGGCGCAAGCCUGAUGCAGCCAUGCCGCGUGUAUGAAGAAGGCCUUCGGGUUGUAAAGUACUUUCAGCGAGGAGGAAGGCGUUGUGGUUAAUAACCGCAGCGAUUGGCGUUACUCGCAGAAGAAGCACCGGCUAACUCCGUGCCAGCAGCCGCGGUAAUACGGAGGGUGCAAGCGUUAAUCGGAAUUACUGGGCGUAAAGCGCACGCAGGCGGUCUGUCAAGUCGGAUGUGAAAUCCCCGGGCUCAACCUGGGAACUGCAUCCGAAACUGGCAGGCUAGAGUCUUGUAGAGGGGGGUAGAAUUCCAGGUGUAGCGGUGAAAUGCGUAGAGAUCUGGAGGAAUACCGGUGGCGAAGGCGGCCCCCUGGACAAAGACUGACGCUCAGGUGCGAAAGCGUGGGGAGCAAACA
rnacentral:rRNA from 1 species